rnacentral:lncRNA from 1 species
GUUUGACCUCUUAUUUUAAUACAACACCCGCCUCUUACAGGCAACAGACCAGUCCAGCCAGGUCAAGGUGUGGACUGCACAGCGAGGUGCACAGAAUCAGUUAAGCAAACCAGGAACCCAGCUAGAAAAUUAAACGCGCCCUGGAUCUACAAAGCAGGUCCCUUCGAGAGACCAAAGCCGUGAUCCCAACCUUAGCAACAUAAUUCUACUACAGGUGUUGAUAUAUUAUAUAUACUAAUCCAGAAAAAC